AGAUGAUGGCACCGGAACUCCUUAUGACAAAGAAUCAACAGCAAUCAUAAAACUGAACAAUACAACUGUCCUUUAUUUAAAAGAGGUGACAAAAUUCCUUGCUCUUGUCUGUUUUGUCAGAGAAGAAAGCUUUGAGAGAAAAGGAUUAAUAGACUACAAUUUCCAUUGUUUUCGAAAAGCCAUACAAGAAGUAUUUGAAGUACGAAUGAAAGUAGUAAGAUCUCGAAAACAUCAAAGCCACAUGCAAAAAAAUAAAAGACCCACUCCCAAUGGGACACCAAGAAUGCCACUGUAACUGAGGUUUCCUGGCGCUGUGGCAAGCAAGUUUUUGUGAAGUUGAUGUGACUUCUGCAUCUCAUUGCACUGAGGAAGAGGAAAACAAAUGGGACUGGUGUAUUAUAUGAAUUUCCCCUGAACAUUCAGAAAGCACUGUUUAAAUAUUUUUAUCCAAUCAGUUGUUUUUUCAUAUAGUGAGCACUUUGAGCAAAAUGUUGUAUAUAUAAGCAUUGAGUUGAACACUUGUAAGAAUUUUCUUAAUAUAUGCUGUAAACCUUUUCCAUGCCAUAUUAAGAAGAAACAGCUGUGACAGAAAUACUGGGUACAUAAUUUGCACUUUUUCAUGUUUUCCUUGUGGAGUUGGACUUUGAUAAACUUAGUUUUUAUGGUGAUUUUGAUGCAUGGUGUCAGGUAAAAUGUAUGCUGUAGUUUAUUUACCUGCUACAAUCAAAUUGGUUAGUAAACAAUUAAGAAAACUUGGUACAAUGCCUUUUAAAAUUUGUGACAGCUAAUACCUAACAUUCAUACAGAUCUAAUUUCGUAUAUUUUUCAAUUUGUAAACUGAAGAAUAAUUUUGAAGUAUUGCAGCAAUAAGCACCUUACCAGCGAUCAUAUCUGGUAGGUAAAUAUUAGCUUUUAUAAAACAGGCUUUUGGCCAAAUUUCAUCCGGAAUUCUCCAUAACACUGGUCAUGCCCUCUGUUGGGUCUGGUUUUAUUAUUUACCUCAGCAUAUACCACUAAAAUACCUUUCUAUAAAGAUAAUUGUUUUGUAAAAUGGCUCUAUGUUGCACUGGUAUUUUUAUAAGGCUUCAGAGGAGCGUGUUGUAUCUGAAAGGUUGAAUUUUCAUUGCUAAGUUUGUUUUGAGAGCCUGCUCAUCUACAGCUGACGCAGUGAAGAAUCUGUGUGUAUUUUCACCCUGAUAUUCUGAUGUACUGAUAGGAAGUCCUAAAGAUGUGAGCACUGCAUUCUGAUUCCCUCUAGUAGGGGUUAUGUCUGUGACUGAAAUCAAGAAGACACCUUUAAAAAGAGGACUGGACAAUCUACCUGCUGUAAUAAUCAGCAUCCUUCACUACUUUUUAUUUUAAUAUUGGAACAUGAGCAGAUUUACCACAGGAUCAGCCUGGGCAGCAAAACACUCUUAAACCUAAAUAGAAGUAAAACCUACUUUCUGAGUUCUGUA